rnacentral:rRNA from 1 species
GACGAACGCUGGCGGCAAGCCUAACACAUGCAAGUCGAACGAGUGGCGGACGGGUGAGUAAUGUCUGGGAAACUGCCUGAUGUAGGGGGAUAACUACUGGAAACGGUAGCUAAUACCGCAUACCCUCGGAUGUGCCCAGAUGGGAUUUGCUAGUAGGUGGGGUAAAGGCUCACCUAGGCGACGAUCCCUAGCUGGUCUGAGAGGAUGACCAGCCACACUGGAACUGAGACACGGUCCAGACUCCUACGGGAGGCAGCAGUGGGGAAUAUUGCACAAUGGGCGCAAGCCUGAUGCAGCCAUGCCGCGUGUAUGAAGAAGGCCUUCGGGUUGUAAAGUACUUUCAGCGGGGAGGCGUUACCCGCAGAAGAAGCACCGGCUAAAUCCGUGCCAGCAGCCGCGGUAAUUC